AUGUGGGGAGAAAAAACCUACCGGGAAAAUGGGCGGAAAAAGCCCGACUUCGGGCCGAGAAAAGCCGCCCGGGGGGGAAACCCCGGCCCCGCGGCACUUCCCGUUUCGGCACCGGCGUCUGCGCCGCGGCCCCCGGGGAGCCGCUUUCCCACGGGCCCGGCCGGGACCCCCGGCGCCUCCGCUCUGCCCGCAGUGUCGGCCAAGGCGCCCGUCGUCUUCCCGCUGAAGCCCUGCGCCUGCGACGAGAACGUCACCUUCGCCUGCCUGGUCAGCGACUUCUUCCCGCUGCCCGUGGCCGUGGACUGGGCAUCCCGGGAGCCCUACGACGCCUUGACCUACCCGGCCGCGGUGGUCAGGGACAGCCUGUACAGCACCUGCAGCCAGCUCACGACGCCCGCCAGCAACCUGCCGGGCAACGAGAUCCAGUGCAAGGUGCAGCACAGCCCCACCAGCACCCAAAUCACCGAGAAAUUCGAUGGCAUAAGCUGCAUUCCCACGGUAAAAAUCCUGAGCUAUUUAAGCAAGGACGACUCGGACGAUAAUGUCCUGCUGCUCUGCCUCAUCGAGCGGCUCCCAGACAGCACGGCCCAGGUGCAGUGGCUGCAGAACGGAGAGGAGGUGAAGCUGACCCAGGAGGACUACAGCUGCGAUAAGUGCUCCGACAACUUCAGCUUGCAGUCGAGUCAGGUCAGCGUCAGCCGGAAGAACUGGGACCAGGGCAUGGAGUUCGCUUGCCGAGUGUCCCACCCUUCGCUGAAAGAGCCCAUCACACGCACCAUCAGCAGCUACUGCCCAGGUGGGGGCCGAGAUAUCCCCAUGGCGGUCUCGGUCCUGGCGCCGUCCCUGGAGGACCUCUUCCUCAGCCAGAACGCCAGCGUCACCUGCGUGGCGACCGACGUCAAGGCGCCCAGUGACGUCAGCUUCUCCUGGAAGCGGCAGAAGGACGGCGCCCUGGACGUGGUCCCCGGGGAGCCGACGCAGCAGGAGAACGGCCUCUACCGCGUCACCAGCGUGCUCAAGGUGUGCGCCGAGGAGUGGAACGCCGGCGAGGCCUUCACCUGCACCGUGAAAAGCCCCGAGCUCCUCUCGGAUGUCAGCAAAUCUGUAAAGAAAGAGCAAGUCGGAUCCGUGCGCUCGCCCUCCAUCUACGUCUUCGGGCCGCCGGCAGAGGAGCUGGCGCGGCAGGAGACGGCCACCUUGACCUGCCUGGCCACGGGCUUCAGCCCCCGGGACAUCCUGGUGACCUGGACCCAGCAGGAGCGCCCGCUCUCGCCCGAGAACUUCAUCACCUUCAGCCCCGAGGCGGAGGGCGACAGCUACACGGUCUACAGCAAGCUGAGCGUGCCCUGGGCCGAGUGGCAGCGGGGCGACUCCUUCGCCUGCAUCGUGGGGCACGAGGGCAUCCCGCUCACCUUCGUGCACAAGAGCCUGGACAAGACCACGGGUAAACCCACCGCCGUCAACGUCUCCGUGGUCCUGGCCGACGCCGACAUCACCUGCUACUGAGCCGGGGCGGCGCGGGCGCGCGGGGGGCUGUAACGCUGCGCCGAGCGUCCCAAUAAAGCCGAAAUCCUGCACCGCG